rnacentral:rRNA from 1 species
AUACGGGGGGUGCAAGCGUUAAUCGGAAUUACUGGGCGUAAAGCGCGCGUAGGCGGUUAGAUAAGUUGGAUGUGAAAGCCCCGGGCUCAACCUGGGAACUGCAUUCAAAACUGUUUGACUAGAGUAUGGUAGAGGGAAGUGGAAUUCCAGGUGUAGCGGUGAAAUGCGUAGAUAUCUGGAGGAACAUCAGUGGCGAAGGCGACUUCCUGGAUCAAUACUGACGCUGAGGUGCGAAAGCGUGGGGAGCAAACAGGAUUAGAAACCCCGGUAGUCC